rnacentral:rRNA from 1 species
UCCUACGGGAGGCAGCAGUGGGGAAUAUUGCACAAUGGGCGCAAGCCCGAUGCAGCAACGCCGCGUGAGGGACGAAGGCCUUCGGGUUGUAGACCUCUUUUAGUAGGGAAGAAGCGACUGGGUUUUCCUGGGAGUGACGGUACCUGCAGAAAAAGCACCGGCUAACUACGUGCCAGCAGCCGCGGUAAUACGUAGGGUGCAAGCGUUGUCCGGAAUUAUUGGGCGUAAAGAGCUCGUAGGCGGUUUGUCGCGUCUGCUGUGAAAACCCGAGGCUCAACCUCGGGCCUGCAGUGGGUACGGGCAGACUAGAGUGCGGUAGGGGAGAUUGGAAUUCCUGGUGUAUCGGUGGAAUGCGCAGAUAUCAGGAGGAACACCAAUGGCGAAGGCAGAUCUCUGGGCCGUAACUGACGCUGAGGAGCGAAAGCAUGGGGAGCGAACAGGAUUAGAUACCCUGGUAGUCCAUGCCGUAAACGUUGGGAACUAGAUGUGGGGACCAUUCCACGGUCUCCGUGUCGCAGCUAACGCAUUAAGUUCCCCGCCUGGGGAGUACGGCCGCAAGGCUAAAACUCAAAGGAAUUGACGGGGGCCCGCACAAGCGGCGGAGCAUGCGGAUUAAUUCGAUGCAACUCGAAGAACCUUACCAAGGCUUGACAUAUACCGGAAACGGCUGGAAACAGUCGCCCCGCAAGGUCGGUAUACAGGUGGUGCAUGGUUGUCGUCAGCUCGUGUCGUGAGAUGUUGGGUUAAGUCCCGCAACGAGCGCAACCCUCGUCCUAUGUUGCCAGCACGUAAUGGUGGGAACUCAUGGGAUACUGCCGGGGUCAACUCGGAGGAAGGUGGGGGAUGACGUCAAAUCAUCAUGCCCCUUAUGUCUUGGGCUUCACGCAUGCUACAAUGGCCGGGUACAAAGGGGCUGCGAUACC